GUUUUACCCUACUGAUGAGUUUGUUGUCUAAACAGUAAUCCAACCCAGUACGAGAAGAACCGUUGGUUCAGAUAAUUGGUAACUGCGGUUAGCUGAAAAGCUAGUGCCGCCAAGCUACCAUCUGUAGGAUUAUGGCUGAACGCCUCUAAGUCAGAAUCCAUGCUGGAAUAGACGAUAAUCACCUUUCCCGAUGUGCCGCGAAUAGCGAUAGGUGUCUUCUGGACACCCAACAUCAUACAAUUGCAACGCACUCCGCUGCCUGUCAAGUACUGGCGGUGGAGAGUAGGCUGAUUUGU
rnacentral:rRNA from 1 species